AUUGAACGCUGGCGGCAUGCCUUACACAUGCAAGUCGAACGCGAAAGGGGGCAACCCUGAGUAGAGUGGCGCACGGGUGAGCAAUACAUCGGAACAUACCCAGUAGUGGGGGAUAACCAGUCGAAAGAUUGGCUAAUACCGCAUACGACCUACGGGUGAAAGCGGGGGACCGUAAGGCCUCGCGCUAUUGGAUUGGCCGAUGUCUGAUUAGCUAGUUGGUGAGGUAACGGCUCACCAAGGCGACGAUCAG
rnacentral:rRNA from 1 species